CGGAGAAAAUUUCACGGUGGCAAAGAGAAUAUCGAGGGACCAAAUUGUUAUUUUUAUUAACAAGUGGGGGCUCGUCCUUCCGGAAUUUCUCAAAAAGACAGGAAAUGCGACCACAGAG